CACGGGCAGUACACCUACGGGUGGCAGCAACUAGGAAUAUUGCGCAAUGGGGGAAACCCUGACGCAGCGACGCCGCGUGGAGGAAGAAGGUCUAUGGAUCGUAAACUCCUUUUGCCAAGCCGUUCACAGCUUGGAGAAUAAGCCUCUACUAACUACGUGCCAGAAGUCUCGGUAAUACGUAGGAGGCAAGCGUUAUCCGGAUUUAUUGGGCGUAAAGUGUGCGUAGGCGGUCCGACGAGUCUCUUCUUAAAUAUCAGAGCUUAACUCUGGAAGUGGGAGAGAUACUGUCGGACUUGAGGGUUGAUAGGGAUACUGGAACAGUUAGUGUAGCAGUGAAAUGCGUUGAUAUUAACUGGAACACCAAAGGCGAAGGCAAGUAUCUAGAUUCUCCCUGACGCUGAGGCACGAAAGCUAGGGUAGCGAAACAGAUUAAGCUAACGCGUUAAGCGGACCGCCUGGGGAGUACGGCCGCAAGGCUAAAACUCAAAGGAAUUGACGGGGACCCGCACAACCGGUGGAGCGUGUGGUUCAAUUCGAGACAAAACGAAGAACCUCACCAGGGUUUGACAUAAUACCGUACAUUUUCCUGGAAACAGGAAGAAAUCCGCAAGGAUGGUACUACAGGUGCUGCAUGGCUGUCGUCAGCUCGUGCCGUGAGGUGUUCCCUUAAGUGGGGAAACGAGCGCAACCCGCGCCAAAUGUUAAAUAUUCAUUUGGGACUGCCCCAGUUUUACUGGGAAGGAAGGAGCGGAAGACGUCAAGUCAGCAUGGUCCUUAUACCCUGGGCUACACACACACUACAAUGGCGAAAAACAACGUGUUGCAAGCCGGCAACGGCAAGCUAAUCACUCAAAUUUCGCCUCAGUUCAGAUUGGGGGCUGAAACUCGCCCUCAUGAAGUCGGAAUCGGUAGUAAUCGCGGAUCAGCAAGCCGCGGUGAAUACGUUCUCGGGUCUUGUACACACCGCCCGUCAAGGCAGCAAAGUCGGGAGUAGACGAACUACGAUUUUUUUCGUGGGAGUCUAAAUUCGGCGAUGAAGCUUAAGUCGUAACAAGGUAUCCCUAGCCGAAGCUGGGGAUGGAUCACCUCCUUU
rfam:Microgenomates (Levybacteria) bacterium GW2011_GWC1_40_19 TT87_C0007, whole genome shotgun sequence.